rnacentral:rRNA from 1 species
CAGUAGCCGCGGUAAUACGUAGGUGGCAAGCGUUAUCCGGAAUUAUUGGGCGUAAAGCGCGCGUAGGCGGUUUUUUAAGUCUGAUGUGAAAGCCCACGGCUCAACCGUGGAGGGUCAUUGGAAACUGGAAAACUUGAGUGCAGAAGAGGAAAGUGGAAUUCCAUGUGUAGCGGUGAAAUGCGCAGAGAUAUGGAGGAACACCAGUGGCGAAGGCGACUUUCUGGUCUGUAACUGACGCUGAUGUGCGAAAGUGUGGGGAUCAAACAGGAUUAGAUACCCCUGUAGUCCCUGUCUCUUAUAC